CAAAUUCAAAACCGUCUCCCAUCAAUCUCCCCGUCUGACUUAAGCAUCGGAGGGGCGACGAGAACACACCUCAUUGCCUUUUGUUUCAGGUAUCGGAAGACUGUUCGUGCUCAUUUGAGAGAUCCAAGCUCGGAGUUCAAACCACAAAUUCUCUAUCAGGUAUAAUUUUUUGGUAGCAUCACAUACCAUUACCAAUAAGAACUAAGUUGACUUGACAUUGACCGUCGAGGCCACACAUGAAGAAGGCUGAGCCAGCACAUGGAGGAUCGCCAAUGCGCCACCGGCCGUGCUCCAAUUUCUUAACGUGCGACUGUUAUCUCACUUUUAAUUUCGCACUCAUUUUCUCGCAGGUCUUUUGUCUCUCUCCCUUUAAAGCUCGCACGCGGCAGCGGAACCCAAAACCCCCAUGUUUAUCAAUGCAUUAUACACUAACGUGCACCUCAAAUUCCAUAAUUCUGGAGGUAAUUCAAAUUUGAGUUAUAAAUAUGUAAUACACUAGUUUCAAUGGUAUUUAAGAUCUUAAUCUUAAUGCGCCCAUUUUAUUUUUCCUUAUCAAGUUUAAAGAAUUAAUGGAAAAAAUAAAUAUCAUUGCUGCUGGACUGGUUAGACAUUAAUUUAGUUCUGUAUUGCUCUGUUUUUCACCUUUUUUUUUGCAUGCAAAUUGAAUAGGAGGAUAGAGAAAGAAGAAUAUGAUUAUUUGCUGAUAAUAUAUACAUAAUGAUAUAUGUUCGAUUCUGUUUUUCAACAUGUGCCUAUUUGUAGAGUUUAAUAUACAUUUUAUGGUAGUUCUUCACUGUAGUUGAUCAUCUUCUCAUGCCGGAAAAGUUAAUAUUGUUGAUCGAGUGAAGUUAUUGGUUGAAUGCGAAAUAUUAUAAGUUAAUAACAAUUUGGGGUAUGUUUGGUACUGUAUUCGAUAAGGAUUUUUUAUUAUUUAUUUAUUUUAAUAUUGUUGUAUUAUAGUCUACCAUACCAAACAAGCAGCCAAUCGUUCUAACAAAAUCCCUUUUUUCUUGUAAUUUGAUCACAACUUGAUGUUCAGUUACCCUUUUUUGUCCCGAUAGUAGAUUUCUUGCCUUUAAGAUUGUGAAUUUUAUGCCACACCACCAUUAUCUUCAGCAGUUUGGGGUAGUACAUGCUAUUCUAUUAAAAAGGUCUUUUGUGUAAAGUGCAGCAAUGAAUCAAAGAGGAGCUGGGUUUGACACUAGUUUUUUACAUUAUUUGUUUUCCUUAAUGAGAAAUGAGAAAUGAGGUAUUUUAGCGGUGGAGUAUCGAAUACGGAAUGUGUUCAAUGCAUGCAUCCUUGAUAAAGGCAAUUUCUUACCAGGAAAUGUCUACCUAUUGGCUUUCCGCUUUCCAUGACAUAGCUGAACUUCUGUUUGUCCUUCGGCUUCUUGGUACGUC
rnacentral:lncRNA from 1 species